GUGGGGAAUAUUCCGCAAUGGACGAAAGUCUGACGGAGCAACGCCGCGUGAGUGAUGAAGGUUUUCGGACUGUAAAGCUCUGUUGUUUAGGACGAAAGUGCCUGUUGCGAAUAGUUACAGGUAUUGACGGUACUGAACGAGGAAGCCACGGCUAACUACGUGCCAGCAGCCGCGGUAAUACGUAGGUGGCAAGCGUUGUCCGGAAUUAUUGGGCGUAAAGAGCAUGUAGGCGGGAAUCUAAGUCUGUUGUGAAAAUGCGGGGCUCAACCCCGUAUUGCGAUGGAAACUGGGUUUCUUGAGUGCAGGAGAGGAAAGGGGAAUUCCCAGUGUAGCGGUGAAAUGCGUAGAUAUUGGGAGGAACACCAGUGGCGAAGGCGCCUUUCUGGACUGUGUCUGACGCUGAGAUGCGAAAGCCAGGGUAGCGAACGGGAUUAGAUACCCCAGUAGUCC
rnacentral:rRNA from 1 species